GCUGAGUCAGCAGCAUAGCUAGUUCCUUGCCCAGCUCCAAUGAUCGUGAUAACUAUGACCCACACCCCAAGAAGAAAAGUUUUCAGGCCUGCUCUACAGCUUCAUUGCAUUGACGCCACUAAUGAUGCAGCUAUCUGGGAACCAUGUGCUUUGGCCUACAUAUCUGCAGGAGAAAUGAACAGUAGGUAAAUAGUUACCUGCAAACAGGUCCUCCAGCCUGUUGGAAGAAUCCUUCCCAGAAAAUGAGCGGGCGCUGAGUUUUCAGCCUCAUUGAUAUUAGAAAUGCAACACAUGAAUAAAACUUGCAAAUGGGAAGAUCCUGAAGAAAGCUUCUAUGGAGGAAAUUCAAGAUGUGAACAAAAUGUAGAUGUUUCUUUUAAAGAUGAAUAAUUCAGUUCAUUGGUAGUAUUGUUCAAGGCAUUAAUUAUAAAUUAUUGAAUUUGUAAGGCAGUUAUCCCCUUUGAAACUAGAUUUCAGAAGCCAUAUGCACAAUUUCCAUUAAUUUGCAUAGAAGAGAACCAGAUCUUUAAUCUCUCUUAAAUUUUGCAUCAUAACUCGCAAACAAAAGAAUUAGUCCCUAGAAAUUAAGUGCUUGGUCUCAUACGUAAGAGAUUUCCUCUUAAAGGUUCCUCUAAAGAGAGGAAAUAACCUUCUCUAAAAAGAUUUCUUCUGAAAAUGCUAACUUCCUAUCUUUGUAUAGUCUUGGCAAUAUCUUUAAACAAACUUCUGGCCAAAGAUUAAACUGGCAGUCCCAUGUUAAAAUGCAUUUCUGAAAAGGAAAUACACCAGAUUGCCAGACAUCUGAGUGGUUUUACUGUAACCUAAUGCUACUUAAACACAUGAAUAACUGUGCUUGGACAAGCUGGUCUAUACCAAUCUCUGCAUUUCACUCAAGCCAAGAAUUGGAUUUGGGGUUUUGAGGUCUGCUUUUUGGGGUCUGAUUUUUUGCCUUGUUUUGUUUUGUUUUGCCAGAUUCCACUCUGUCAUUACAGUGAUUUGGUUAGAGAAAAAACACGAUUACAUUUUCCACCUUCCUAACACUUAAACACUCAGGGGGUUGUUUGCACACAUUAUAGCUUUCAUUGAUUAUACAUAUAUAUGCUAUCAUAUACUCAAACUAAAGACUUCUUACAGAAUAAGUGUUUUUUUACUAUUAAUAGUGGAGCCAGGAUUAUUUCUAUCAGUUACUAUACGAAAGACAGCAUUUAACUGAAGAGUGGCUACAUACGUAAAAACAUGCUUUGUCAGGAGUGUUAAGCUGAACAGAAGUCCAAGGAAAAUAGUAAAGCAAAUAUCCCAACAGAAAAUUAUUACUUUGGUAAAAUAAAAAUAUGCAAUGCUAAUUAUUUAUCUGAAAAUAUCAUACAGAUUUUAGAUGAAGUUUGUCUCUUAGUAGAGUUAAACCUUUGUUUUACCUAAGGUGGGUGAGUAGAACCUACUGUGCAUUACUAAAACAAAUUGUGGAACCAUAUUUUCUGCUUUCAGGUUUUAUUCAUCCAAACACAUACAGUGUUAAAGGAAGGCAAAGCAUUACAGAAGUUUCUGCAGCAGCUGACUGACCUAGCAGCCUCUUGAGACAACUGCAAGUUCAUCUUUGCUUGUGGGUUUUCUCUUUAUACUGUGGGAGAGAUAAUGAAAGCUUUUGCAUUUUAGAUAAAUUUGACUCUCUCACACUCCCUUGAGAAGAACUUUUAAUGUGUUUUCCAAGUUAUAAACACAACUUAAAUAUGCAAUAUUUAAAUGCUUUUGCCUCCUUCCCUUUAGUGUUGAAUAGCUCCCCA